AGAUUGAACUGAAGAGUUUGAUCCUGGCUCAGAUUGAACGCUGGCGGCAUGCUUUACACAUG
rnacentral:rRNA from 2 species